rnacentral:rRNA from 1 species
GGGGGGGGGGGGGGGGGGGGGGGGGGGGGGCGGGGCGGGCGAGGGGGCGAGGGGCUGGCGCCUCGGACGGUAGCGGCGGGCGGGGGGGUGGCGCGUGGCUCACCUACCUAUAAGGCUGGGGUAACUUCGUGAGACCGGCGCUCAUACCGGAUAAUAUAUUGACCCUCAUGGUUCAAUAGUGAACGACGGUUUUGCUGUCACUUAUCGAUGGCUCCGCGCCGCAUUAGCUAGUUGGUAAGGUAACGGCUUACCAAGGCAACGAUGCGUAGCCGACCUGAGAGGGUGAUCGGCCACACUGGAACUGAGACACGGUCCAGACUCCUACGGGAGGCAGCAGUAGGGAAUCUUCCGCAAUGGGCGAAAGCCUGACGGAGCAACGCCGCGUGAGUGAUGAAGGUCUUCGGAUCGUAAAACUCUGUUAUUAGGGAAGAACAAAUGUGUAAGUAACUAUGCACGUCUUGACGGUACCUAAUCAGAAAGCCACGGCUAACUACGUG